GAUGAACGCUGGCGGCGUGCCUAAUACAUGCAAGUCGAGCGAACAGACGAGGAGCUUGCUCCUCUGACGUUAGCGGCGGACGGGUGAGUAACACGUGGAUAACCUACCUAUAAGACUGGGAUCACUUCGGGAACCCGGAGAUAAUACCGGAUAAUAUAUUGAACCGCAUGGUUCAAUAGUGAAAGACGGUUUUGCUGUCACUUAUAGAUGUAUCCGCGCCGCAUUAGCUAGUUGGUAAGGUAACGGCUUACCAAGGCAACGAUGCGUAGCCGACCUGAGAGGGUGAUCGGCCACACUGGAACUGAGACACGGUCCAGACUCCUACGGGAGGCAGCAGUAGGGAAUCUUCCGCAAUGGGCGAAAGCCUGACGGAGCAACGCCGCGUGAGUGAUGAAGGUCUUCGGAUCGUAAAACUCUGUUAUUAGGGAAGAACAAAUGUGUAAGUAACUAUGCACGUCUUGACGGUACCUAAUCAGAAAGCCACGGCUAACUACGUG
rnacentral:rRNA from 1 species